rnacentral:rRNA from 1 species
GUCUAUGGCCAUACCACCCUGAAUGUGCCCGACCUCGCCUGAUCUCGGAAGCUAAGCGGGGUUGGGCCUGAUUAGUACUUGAAUGGGAAUACUGGGUGCUAGAGUAU